rnacentral:rRNA from 1 species
GAUGAACGCUGACAGAAUGCUUAACACAUGUAAGUCAACUUGAACUUCGGUUUGGGUGGCGGACGGGUGAGUAACGCGUAAAGAACUUGCCUCACAGAUAGGGACAACAUUUGGAAACGAAUGCUAAUACCUGAUAUUAUGAUUUUAGGGCAUCCUAGGAUUAUGAAAGCUAUAUGCGCUGUGAGAGAGCUUUGCGUCCCAUUAGCUAGUUGGAGAGGUAACGGCUCACCAAGGCGAUGAUGGGUAGCCGGCCUGAGAGGGUGAUCGGCCACAAGGGGACUGAGACACGGCCCUUACUCCUACGGGAGGCAGCAGUGGGGAAUAUUGGACAAUGGACCAAGAGUCUGAUCCAGCAAUUCUGUGUGCACGAUGAAGUUUUUCGGAAUGUAAAGUGCUUUCAGUUGGGAAGAAAAAAAUGACGGUACCAACAGAAGAAGUGACGGCUAAAUACGUGCCAGCAGCCGCGGUAAUACGUAUGUCACAAGCGUUAUCCGGAUUUAUUGGGCGUAAAGCGCGUCUAGGUGGUUAUGUAAGUCUGAUGUGAAAAUGCAGGGCUCAACUCUGUAUUGCGUUGGAAACUGUAUAACUAGAGUACUGGAGAGGUAAGCGGAACUACAAGUGUAGAGGUGAAAUUCGUAGAUAUUUGUAGGAAUGCCGAUGGGGAAGCCAGCUUACUGGACAGAUACUGACGCUGAAGCGCGAAAGCGUGGGUAGCAACAGG